GGAAUGGAUCGAUUAGCCAUGCUAGUUGCACGAGUUUAGACUCGUAGCAUAUAGCUCAGUAACACGUGGCCAAACUACCCUAUGGAUCCCAAUAACCUCGGGAAACUGAGGCUAAUGCGGAAUAGCGUUCAUCGGCUGGAGUGGCACGAACGCGAAACGUUCCGGCGCUGUAGGAUGUGGCUGCGGCCGAUUAGGUAGACGGUGGGGUAACGGCCCACCGUGCCCAUAAUCGGUACGGGUUGUGAGAGCAAGAGCCCGGAGACGGUAUCUGAGACAAGAUACCGGGCCCUACGGGGCGCAGCAGGCGCGAAACCUUUACACUGCACGCCAGUGCGAUAAGGGGACUCCGAGUGCGAGGGCAUAUAGUCCUCGCUUUUCUGUACCGUAAGGUGGUCCUAGAAUAAGUGCUGGGCAAGACCGGUGCCAGCCGCCGCGGUAAUACCGGCAGCCCAAGUGAUGACCGCUAUUAUUGGGCCUAAAGCGUCCGUAGCUGGCCACGCAAGUCUAUUGGGAAAUCCGCGCGCUUAACGGGCGGGCGUCCGGUGGAAACUGCGUGGCUUGGGACCGGAAGACCAGAGGGGUACGUCCGGGGUAGGAGUGAAAUCCCGUAAUCCUGGACGGACCACCGGUGGCGAAACCGCCUCUGGAAAACGGAUCCGA
rnacentral:rRNA from 1 species